ensembl:lncRNA
GGGUGCUUCAUUAAAAUGGGGCCCGAACAAUCCAAUUUCCCCCUGUCUGGCGGAACAUCUCAGUCACUCGCUGUCUUACGGGAUCAAAUUAGGGUUACAUUUAUUGUAGUUGUGCAUCAAAAUAUCAGAUUGUGAAGGGUUAAAUAAAUCACAUAAAUUACAUUGUUUCAAAUAAAUCUGAACCAAUGUAUUACAUUUCAAUACAGGUUGGUAUCUAUAAUACCCACCUGUCAAUCCCAGUAUCCCUCCUGCCCUAUUUCCUCUUCUUUUUCUGUAUCUUCCCUUCUAGGAGAAAUUGUCUUAAUUCCUACCUCUCUCCUUCCUAUAUCAUUUUUUGGAUCAUGAUUAGCAAACUCUUAUACAGGCCAUGGUAGUGAAGCUCAAGAAGAUUGAGCACUGGCUAACCUGUAUCUAGAUAAAUCGUAGGGAAUCACAAACGUUCCUUGAGAUUGUACUUACCAUUCACAUAGUAAACAAUAAAUAUAACAAACUAACUAAAAUCUUACUGUUUUAAUUGUGACAGCCCAUGUUAUUAGAAUGUGGUAUAGAUAUUUUUCAAGACAGCCGUCCUUCUAACUGGGAACAGCGGCAUGCUUUAUCCCCUCCCCUCGUCUGAUCGAAACAUGAGGCUCCUUUGGCAGCUUGGCCUGCUGGGAUACAUUCAACUCUCACAUAGUUUACAUUUUCCUGCCUUGAGUGUUGGAAACUUUCUAUACUGUUUCCAGAAUGUCUGAGGACCCACAAGAGUUAAGAAGUAGCAACCCACUUCUAGACAAAGGUCUUCUGUAGCAGAAGCCCACUGCUAGAUGUAGGAAUUACGUAGAAGUAACUCACUGCUAGGAGUAGGAAUUGAUGUAGAAUUAACCCAUUGCUAGGACUAGGACUUAUGUAGCAGCAACCCACUGCUAGGAGGACUUAUGCAGCAAUAACUCACAGCUAGGAGGACUUAUGUAGCAGUAUACCACUGCUAGGGGGACUUAUGUAGCAGUAGCCCACUGCUAGGACUUAUGUAGCAGUAACCCACUGCUAGGAGGACUUAUGUAGCAGUAACUCACUGCUAGGUCUUAUGUAGCAGUAUACCACUGCUAGGAGGACUUAUGUAGCAGUAACCCACUGCUAGGACUUAUGUAGCAGUAACCCACUGCUGGGAGGACUUAUGUAGCAGUAUACCACUGCUAGGAGGACAUAUGUAGCAGUAACCCACUGCUAGGACUUAUGUUGCAGUAACCCACUGCUAGGACUUAUGUUGCAGUAACCCACUGCUAGGACUUAUGUAGCAGUAACCCACUGCUAGGACUUAUGUAGCAGUAACCCACUGCUAGGACUUAUGUAGCAGUAACCCACUGCUAGGACUUAUGUAGCAGUAACCCACUGCUAGGACUUAUGUAGCAGUAACCCACUGCUAGGACUUAUGUAGCAGUAACCCACUGCUAGGACUUAUGUAGCAGUAACCCACUGCUAGGACUUAUGUAGCAGUAUACCACUGCUAGGACUUAUGUAGCAGUAACCCACUGCUUGGAAUUAUGUAGCAGUAAUCUGUUGCUAGGAAUUAUGUUGUGGUUUUCCAUUGCUAGGGCUUUUGUAGCAACCACCCACUAGGACUCUUUUUAAGUGUUUGUUCAUUUGCGGUGCCCAUUCAGAAGGAGAAACGGUCCUCCGGUUUGACGGCCGAUGGGGUUUGUUUCGUUCUUCCUAUUUCCCCUUCGGGUUGGCUGGACUGUCCGAAGGCUUGGUGAGGGAGGUGCGAGGGAGGAAGGAAGAACCCAGGACCAAGUUGACCCACAGUCCUCGGGUGCCGAAUCCCCCCGGGAAUCCUGCGUAGGAUCAGAUUGUUUGUUUGACCGUACAGUGCCUGCAUAGUGCAUCUGUCAUCUGUCUGUGUCUCUGUCUGCCGGAGGCAUCCGUCUGUCCGCUCGACUCCAGCACUGUCCAAGGACCUGAAGGAGCCGAGAGGAAGAACAGGAUCUGGGCUGUUCCGUGCUGUGAUCGGACUGGAUCUACCGACGCUCACACGUCCAGGGAGAGCCGGCGAACCAAACCCCUGGGCUGCUCACCACGUUGGCUGAUCUGCUCUCCAAUGAACCCCGAGGGUGGGAUGGAUACUGGGUGGAUGGAUGGACCAGCUCAGGGAUCGCAGAGAUGAGAUGUGAGCGGGGGGAGAGACGCUCCGUCUUUUUGGCGGAGAGCAUAACUUUGUCCUCAGCGGAGUGCACAUGCUCUUCCCUGU